AACGAACGCUGGCGGCGUGCCUAACACAUGCAAGUCGAGCGCGAAAGUCCCUUCGGGGGCGAGUAGAGCGGCGGACGGGUGAGUAAUACAUGGAUAAUCUGCCCUCGAGAUCGGGAUAACCCUGCGAAAGUGGGGCUAAUACCGAAUAAGACCACACAACACAAGUUGUGUGGUAAAAGGUGGCUUGAAUUUAUUCUGGCUAUCACUUGAGGAUGAGUCCAUGGCCUAUCAGCUUGUUGGUGGGGUAAUGGCCUACCAAGGCUAUGACAGGUAGCUGGUCUGAGAGGACGACCAGCCACACUGGGACUGAGACACGGCCCAGACUCCUACGGGAGGCAGCAGUGGGGAAUAUUGGGCAAUGGGCGAAAGCCUGACCCAGCGACGCCGCGUGGGUGAUGAAGGCCUUCGGGUUGCAAGCACUUUAUUACUAGAACGAAAGAACGUUCGGUAGUAAGUUAACUACUGACGUAGCGUCGACGGUACCGUACGUAGGAAGUAAAGACGACCGGCCGUUAACCG
rnacentral:rRNA from 1 species